CUUCUUUCGGAUUUCUCCAACAUAAACUGAUGGGCAACCCUUUGGCACAUUUGAAGAUAGUUGGCUUGCUGCAGAUGGAGAUAGGUGAAGAAUUUGCUUAGCACGUAUAAUAGCAGACAAACGGAAACCCAUUAUUUGAUAUGAAUGAGAAUGAAAUAUAUAGUUCUUGAGA